AGUUCAAAAAGUUCCAUUGUCUUGUUCGUUUGUUUGUUGUGAAUUUUUAAAAUGUAAUUAUGAUUCCUGGCCAGGAUGAGAUAUGUGGAGAGCAGGUAUUAUUUAACCUAACUCGAUCCAUUAUCCUUCAAUACGCCAUACAAGGCAAAAAAUAUCAAGUUAAGCAUUUAAUUGGUUCAGGUACAUAUUUAUAGCGAUGAGUAACGUUGAGACGGCUUGAAUUGCUUGGCGUAUUCUCAUUUUCCCCAAAUGGUUAGUGUCACCAUGAAACAUGGAACAUUGUACAUGAAAUGGAUAAGCACAGUAACAAAGACGUGAAAAUGUUACUGCCACGCUUUUCAAAACAUGAAGUGGAAGGUCUGCCAUGAAAUGUUCGUAAAAAAACAGAUCCAUCUUGGACACAAAUUUUUAUGAUGUUGGAUAAAAAUCAUUUAACAUG